rnacentral:rRNA from 1 species
AGUUACCUACGGGGGGCAGCAGUGAGGAAUAUUGGUCAAUGGGCGGAAGCCUGAACCAGCCAAGUCGCGUGAGGGAAUAAGGCCCUACGGGUCGUAAACCUCUUUUGCCGGGGAGCAAGGGCCGGGACGAGUCCCGGUCCGGAGAGUACCCGGAGAAAAAGCAUCGGCUAACUCCGUGCCAGCAGCCGCGGUAAUACGGAGGAUGCGAGCGUUAUCCGGAUUUAUUGGGUUUAAUGGGUGCGUAGGCGGGCUUUUAAGUCAGCGGUAAAAAUUCGGGGCUCAAUCCCGUCCGGCCGUUGAAACUG